UGAAAAUGUGAAAUUCCUGAUAAUAUUUAGGUUUACCAAAAUUUUGGUAUUUGUAGAGAAUUAUGGUUAAAAGAUCAUAUAUUUUUUAUCAUGCUAGUUUGGAAAGUUCCUUAUGCCAUUUUAUAAUGCAUUUCAUAAGAAAACAUUUUUAAAGGCAUUAUUUAGAAAUCAGGGCCAUUUUCAUUUUAAGCUGCUACCUCUUAGGUAUUUGAAUCAAAGCACACUAUUUAAGCUUGGUUGUGAUCAGUUUAAUCUUAUUUAUGGAUGUACAAUUGUAGGAUUUAAUUUUUAUUUUAGAUUUAUAAAGGAAGGAAUAUUUGGAUUGCAGACAUAUUCCAUUGAAAUAGCCACAUUUUUCUUAGGAGGUAGAUAGUAGCUACAAUAGUUAAGUUUCAAUGAGUAGUUACUACGUUCCAGGCAAUGGGCUAAAAAUUUUCUGUCAUUAUUUCCUGGAGACAGUUACUGUUUUACAUUUCACAGGUGAGGAAAUUGACAACUCAUAAAGAUGCCUAACUUUUCCACAAGUCCUUUACUAGAGAGUGGGAAACUGGGGUGCUCCUCAGAUGCCAGGCAAGGCACUCCCCGUUUCCUCAACUUGGGCCUUACAAGGAGUUUCUCUUUGUGGCUGGUGGCCAUGCGAGCUUCUCCUCUGGACCUGCAGCAGGUGUGUCCCCCUGCCUUACAGGGAUGCUCACAGAAUGCACCAGAACUCCGGACUUCCCAUGGGGUGGAACCUGGAUGUGCUGGUAACUCCAUUAAACCAAGCAGAUGAGCACCACCCAGGAGAAUAGAGGAGCAAUCAUAGAGGGAGAAUCUGGGCCUCUUCUUCACUGUGUGCUACUGGACACAGUAGCCUGAAAUGUGCAACUCCAGAGUGUUGUGUAAAAGAAAGAAAUUCAAUUUUUUGAGCCACUGUAUUUUGGGAUCUGUUUAAUAGAAGAGUGGAGGUUCUUAUCCUGAAUAAUACAGAACAUUCCUGAAUUGGGAAGUAGAGCACUGGUUUCAAGUCAAUAUCAAGUCAGUAUUCCUUCAUUAUUUCCUACUUUUCUUCCUUUCACACAUUAAAAAAAUCCUCAUCCAAGGAUAUGCUUA